AGGGCAUCACGUCGGCCGGUGGUGUCGCGACGCUGCUGCCGCCGCAACCGGUCGACGACGCGAUCGUCGCGCGUGUGCUCGAC
rnacentral:tRNA from 1 species